rnacentral:tRNA from 1 species
GCCCUGAUGGUGAAAGAGGUAGACACAGUUGUCUCAAAAACAAUAGCGUAAAGCGUGGAGGUUCAAGUCCUCUUCAGGGCA